AGCAGUGUAGCAUAGUGGUAAGGCACAGGACUUAUAACCGGAAGGUUGUCGGUUCGAUUCCCCACUGGAG